GGNUCUGCCUUCGCUCACAGUGCUACAUGGCCAUACAAAGAAGCGACCUCGCGAGAGCAAGCGGACCUCAUAAAGUGCGUCGUAGUCCGGAUUGGAGUCUGCAACUCGACUCCAUGAAGUCGGAAUCGCUAGUAAUCGUGGAUCAGAAUGCCACGGUGAAUACGUUCCCGGGCCUUGUACACACCGCCCGUCACACCAUGGGAGUGGGUUGCAAAAGAAGUAGGUAGCUUAACCUUCGGGAGGGCGCUUACCACUUUGUGAUUCAUGACUGGGGUGAAGUCGUAACAAGGUAACCGUAGGGGAACCUGCGGUUGGGAUCACCUCCU
rnacentral:rRNA from 1 species